rnacentral:rRNA from 1 species
GCUUANCAUGCAGUCGAGCGGAGAUGAGGUGCUUGCACCUUAUCUUAGCGGCGGACGGGUGAGUAAUGCUUAGGAAUCUGCCUAUUAGUGGGGGACAACAUUCCGAAAGGAAUGCUAAUACCGCAUACGUCCUACGGGAGAAAGCAGGGGAUCUUCGGACCUUGCGCUAAUAGAUGAGCCUAAGUCGGAUUAGCUAGUUGGUGGGGUAAAGGCCUACCAAGGCGACGAUCUGUAGCGGGUCUGAGAGGAUGAUCCGCCACACUGGGACUGAGACACGGCCCAGACUCCUACGGGAGGCAGCAGUGGGGAAUAUUGGACAAUGGGGGGAACCCUGAUCCAGCCAUGCCGCGUGUGUGAAGAAGGCCUUAUGGUUGUAAAGCACUUUAAGCGAGGAGGAGGCUACUGAGACUAAUACUCUUGGAUAGUGGACGUUACUCGCAGAAUAAGCACCGGCUAACUCUGUGCCAGCAGCCGCGGUAAUACAGAGGGUGCGAGCGUUAAUCGGAUUUACUGGGCGUAAAGCGUGCGUAGGCGGCUUUUUAAGUCGGAUGUGAAAUCCCCGAGCUUAACUUGGGAAUUGCAUUCGAUACUGGGAAGCUAGAGUAUGGGAGAGGAUGGUAGAAUUCCAGGUGUAGCGGUGAAAUGCGUAGAGAUCUGGAGGAAUACCGAUGGCGAAGGCAGCCAUCUGGCCUAAUACUGACGCUGAGGUACGAAAGCAUGGGGAGCAAACAGGAUUAGAUACCCUGGUAGUCCAUGCCGUAAACGAUGUCUACUAGCCGUUGGGGCCUUUGAGGCUUUAGUGGCGCAGCUAACGCGAUAAGUAGACCGCCUGGGGAGUACGGUCGCAAGACUAAAACUCAAAUGAAUUGACGGGGGCCCGCACAAGCGGUGGAGCAUGUGGUUUAAUUCGAUGCAACGCGAAGAACCUUACCUGGC